rnacentral:rRNA from 1 species
GACGGAAGGUGCAAGCGUUGCUCGGAAUCACUGGGCGUAAAGGGUGCGUAGGCGGCCGUGCAAGUCUGGCGUGAAAGCCCCGGGCUCAGCCCGGGAAGUGCGCUCGAAACUGCACGGCUCGAGUGCCGGAGGGGAGAGUGGAAUUCCUGGUGUAGCGGUGAAAUGCGUAGAUAUCAGGAGGAAUACCGGUGGCGAAAGCGACUCGCUGGACGGCAACUGACGCUGAGGCACGAAAGCGUGGGGAGCAAACAGG